ACAGACAAAAAAAAUAGUUCUCCAAAGCCUUGCUUAAUCCUUAUUUUAGCACUUGCUUUUUUAUGAUUACAUAACUGAAAUGAAAAUAACUCAUUAUUUUAAAAAGUCUUUAGGGGGACACAUCAUUAGCAGGCAUCCAGAUUCAGAUCUGAAUCCCAUCCUGGCUGUGGGUAACUGUACCCUCAACUUGCUAUCAAAAGUGGGAAUUUGUGUCAGCCUUCCGACAAGCCCAGCGACAGGAGAAUGCGCUAGCGAUAGUCAAUUCAGGAAUGAGAGUCUUUUUUGGAGAAGGGGAUGGCAUUAUUAGAGAGUUAUGCAUCUCAUAUGGAGGCGUUGGUCCAACCACCAUCUGUACCAAGAAUUCCUGCCAGAAACUCAUUGGAAGGUGCUGGAACGAAGAGAUGCUGGAUACAGCCUGCAGGCUUGUUCUGGAUGAAGUCUCCCUUUUGGGCUCGGCGCCAGGUGGGAAGGUGGAGUUCAAGAGGACUCUCAUCAUCAGCUUCCUCUUCAAGUUCUACCUGGAAGUGUCACAGAUUUUGAAAAAGAUGGAUCCAGUUCACUAUCCUAGCCUUGCAGACAAAUAUGAAAGUGCUUUAGAAGAUCUUCAUUCCAAACAUCACUGCAGUACAUUAAAGUACCAGAAUAUAGGCCCAAAGCAGCAUCCUGAAGACCCAAUUGGCCACCCCAUCAUGCAUCUCUCUGGUGUGAAGCAUGCCACGGGGGAGGCCAUCUACUGUGAUGACAUGCCUCUGGUGGACCAGGAACUUUUCUUGACUUUUGUGACUAGUUCAAGAGCUCAUGCUAAGAUUGUGUCUAUUGAUCUGUCAGAAGCUCUCAGCAUGCCCGGUGUGGUGGACAUCAUGACAGCAGAGCAUCUUGGUGACAUCAACUCCUUCUGCUUUUUUACCGAAGCUGAGAAAUUUCUGGCGACAGAUAAGGUGUUCUGUGUGGGUCAGCUUGUCUGUGCCGUGCUUGCCGAUUCUGAGGUUCAGGCAAAGCGAGCUGCUAAGCGAGUGAAGAUUGUCUAUCAAGACUUGGAGCCGUUGAUACUAACAAUCGAGGAAAGUAUACAACACAACUCCUUCUUCGAGCCAGAAAGGAAACUGGAAUAUGGAAAUGUUGACGAAGCAUUUAAAGUGGUUGAUCAAAUUCUUGAAGGUGAAAUACAUAUGGGAGGUCAAGAACAUUUUUAUAUGGAAACCCAAAGCAUGCUUGUUGUUCCCAAGGGAGAGGAUCAAGAAAUGGAUGUCUACGUGUCCACACAGUUUCCCAAAUAUAUACAGGACAUUGUUGCCUCGACCUUGAAGCUCCCAGCUAACAAGGUCAUGUGCCACGUAAGGCGUGUUGGUGGAGCGUUUGGAGGGAAGGUGUUAAAAACCGGAAUCAUUGCAGCCGUCACUGCAUUUGCCGCAAACAAACAUGGCCGUGCAGUUCGCUGUGUUCUGGAACGAGGAGAAGACAUGUUAAUAACUGGAGGCCGCCAUCCUUACCUUGGAAAGUACAAAGCUGGAUUCAUGAAUGAUGGCAGAAUCUUGGCCCUGGACAUGGAGCAUUAUAGCAAUGCAGGUGCCUCCUUGGAUGAAUCAUUAUUCGUGAUAGAAAUGGGACUUCUGAAAAUGGACAAUGCUUACAAGUUUCCCAAUCUCCGCUGCCGGGGUUCGGCAUGCAGAACCAACCUUCCAUCCAACACGGCUUUUCGUGGGUUUGGCUUUCCUCAGGCAGCGCUGAUCACUGAAUCUUGUAUCACAGAGGUUGCAGCCAAAUGUGGACUAUCCCCUGAGAAGGUGCGAAUCAUAAACAUGUACAAGGAAAUUGAUCAAACACCCUACAAACAAGAGAUCAAUGCCAAGAACCUGAUCCAGUGUUGGAGAGAAUGUAUGGCCAUGUCUUCCUACUCCUUGAGGAAAGUUGCUGUGGAAAAAUUCAAUGCAGAGAAUUAUUGGAAGAAGAAAGGACUGGCCAUGGUCCCCCUGAAGUAUCCUGUUGGCCUUGGCUCACGUGCUGCUGGUCAGGCUGCUGCCUUGGUUCACAUUUAUCUUGACGGCUCUGUGCUGGUCACUCACGGUGGAAUUGAAAUGGGGCAGGGGGUCCACACUAAAAUGAUUCAGGUGGUCAGCCGUGAAUUAAGAAUGCCAAUGUCGAAUGUCCACCUGCGUGGAACAAGCACAGAAACCGUCCCUAAUGCAAAUAUCUCUGGAGGUUCUGUGGUGGCAGAUCUCAACGGGCUGGCAGUAAAGGACGCCUGUCAAACUCUUCUAAAACGCCUCGAACCCAUCAUCAGCAAGAAUCCUAAAGGAACUUGGAAAGACUGGGCACAGACUGCUUUUGAUGAAAGCAUCAGCCUUUCAGCUGUUGGAUACUUCAGAGGUUAUGAGUCAGACAUGAACUGGGAGAAAGGUGAAGGCCAUCCCUUCGAAUACUUCGUUUACGGAGCUGCCUGUUCUGAGGUUGAAAUAGACUGCUUGACGGGGGAUCAUAAGAACAUCAGAACAGACAUUGUCAUGGAUGUUGGCUGCAGUAUAAAUCCAGCCAUUGACGUAGGCCAGAUUGAAGGUGCAUUUAUUCAAGGCAUGGGACUUUAUACAAUAGAGGAACUGAAUUAUUCUCCCCAGGGCAUUCUGCACACUCGUGGUCCAGACCAAUAUAAAAUCCCUGCCAUCUGUGACAUGCCCACGGAGUUGCACAUUGUUUUGUUGCCUCCUUCUCAAAACUCAAAUACUCUUUAUUCAUCUAAGGGUCUGGGAGAGUCGGGGGUGUUCCUGGGGUGUUCCGUGUUUUUCGCUAUCCAUGACGCGGUGAGUGCAGCACGACAGGAGAGAGGCCUGCAUGGACCCUUGAGCCUUAAUAGUCCACUGACCCCAGAGAAGAUUAGGAUGGCCUGUGAAGACAAGUUCACAAAAAUGAUUCCGAGAGAUGAACCCGGAUCCUAUGUUCCUUGGAAUGUACCCAUCUGAAUCAAAUGCAAACUCCUGGAGAAAAUGGAGUGCCUCUUCCCAGGUGGCAAUCUGUCCUAUCUCUGUGCUAGAAGACACUAGAUCUGAAAGACAGAGUUUCCAUAGUUCAGAAAUCAUCCCACAGUGUUGCUUUUCUAUGGAGCUGAUUUAAAGUAUUCCAUUUAGAUUUGCUAGAUAUGCUUAAGCAAUCUAU
rnacentral:sRNA from 1 species